rnacentral:rRNA from 1 species
AUGAACAAGGCCGAAUUCCUCGCAUCGUUGGAGUCCUCGGCCAUCGUUGGCCUUGGUGAUCUCAACUAUGACUCAUUCUGGGAUCAUUCGGCCACCCAAGGCACAGAGGACACCGAGGAGGAGCUCCAAGAGGUGGUGGCCGAGGAGGAGGCCGGGGAGGAGGUGGUGGAGGAGGACCUUGCGCUUUGCGACGCUUGGUGUGCCAUCUCCAUGGAUGCAACGAUCGGAACGGAUCAAACCAAGACCAUGUUUUGGGAGAGGAUCACCGACUACUACAACAUCUCCGUGGACGUGCGAUCAAGCCGUACACAAGGUUCGCUUGGGCAUCGUUGGAGCACCAUCCAUGAUCAAUGCAACCGAUGGUCAAGUUGCAUCGAUGAAGUGAACCAUGCUCCACCGAGUGGUGUGCAAGUGGCGGAAUAUGGCCCCAACAUCAAAGAUCUUUUUAAGCAUCGGAACACCAAGUUUGGCCACAAGCCCUUCACUUUGCAUCAUUGCUACAAAGAGCUGUGCAAGAAUGAGAAGUGGAUACAAAGAAUUGCGAAGACCACUCCGAAGAGGUCAAGGUUGAGCAUAUGCCUUGAGGACGACGACAAGGUUGAUGAAGAUGCAUGCUAA